AAAUUGAAGAGUUUGAUCAUGGCUCAGAUUGAACGCUGGCGGCAGGCCUAACACAUGCAAGUCGAACGGUAGCACAGAGAGCUUGCUCUCGGGUGACGAGUGGCGGACGGGUGAGUAAUGUCUGGGAAACUGCCUGAUGGAGGGGGAUAACUACUGGAAACGGUGGCUAAUACCGCAUAACGUCGCAAGACCAAAGAGGGGGACCUUCGGGCCUCUUGCCAUCAGAUGUGCCCAGAUGGGAUUAGCUUGUUGGUGAGGUAACGGCUCACCAAGGCGACGAUCCCUAGCUGGUCUGAGAGGAUGACCAGCCACACUGGAACUGAGACACGGUCCAGACUCCUACGGGAGGCAGCAGUGGGGAAUAUUGCACAAUGGGCGCAAGCCUGAUGCAGCCAUGCCGCGUGUAUGAAGAAGGCCUUCGGGUUGUAAAGUACUUUCAGCGGGGAGGAAGGUGUUGUGGUUAAUAACCGCAGCAAUUGACGUUACCCGCAGAAGAAGCACCGGCUAACUCCGUGCCAGCAGCCGCGGUAAUACGGAGGGUGCAAGCGUUAAUCGGAAUUACUGGGCGUAAAGCGCACGCAGGCGGUCUGUCAAGUCGGAUGUGAAAUCCCCGGGCUCAACCUGGGAACUGCAUUCGAAACUGGCAGGCUUGAGUCUUGUAGAGGGGGGUAGAAUUCCAGGUGUAGCGGUGAAAUGCGUAGAGAUCUGGAGGAAUACCGGUGGCGAAGGCGGCCCCCUGGACAAAGACUGACGCUCAGGUGCGAAAGCGUGGGGAGCAAACAGGAUUAGAUACCCUGGUAGUCCACGCCGUAAACGAUGUCUACUUGGAGGUUGUGCCCUUGAGGCGUGGCUUCCGGAGCUAACGCGUUAAGUAGACCGCCUGGGGAGUACGGCCGCAAGGUUAAAACUCAAAUGAAUUGACGGGGGCCCGCACAAGCGGUGGAGCAUGUGGUUUAAUUCGAUGCAACGCGAAGAACCUUACCUGGUCUUGACAUCCACAGAACUUUCCAGAGAUGGAUUGGUGCCUUCGGGAACUGUGAGACAGGUGCUGCAUGGCUGUCGUCAGCUCGUGUUGUGAAAUGUUGGGUUAAGUCCCGCAACGAGCGCAACCCUUAUCCUUUGUUGCCAGCGAUUAGGUCGGGAACUCAAAGGAGACUGCCAGUGAUAAACUGGAGGAAGGUGGGGAUGACGUCAAGUCAUCAUGGCCCUUACGACCAGGGCUACACACGUGCUACAAUGGCGCAUACAAAGAGAAGCGACCUCGCGAGAGCAAGCGGACCUCAUAAAGUGCGUCGUAGUCCGGAUUGGAGUCUGCAACUCGACUCCAUGAAGUCGGAAUCGCUAGUAAUCGUGGAUCAGAAUGCCACGGUGAAUACGUUCCCGGGCCUUGUACACACCGCCCGUCACACCAUGGGAGUGGGUUGCAAAAGAAGUAGGUAGCUUAACCUUCGGGAGGGCGCUUACCACUUUGUGAUUCAUGACUGGGGUGAAGUCGUAACAAGGUAACCGUAGGGGAACCUGCGGUUGGAUCACCUCCUUACCUUAAAGAAGC
rnacentral:rRNA from 2 species